rnacentral:lncRNA from 1 species
AAACAAUCUUUCAGUGGUUGUUUGGUAGAUUUGUAAUUGAAACAAACAUGUACAUAGACCAAACAUCAUUUUGCUGGUGUGUUCGUAUGGGAUGUGGAUUCACACUUUGAAUGUGAGUUUCAUAGAGGGACUUGAACUUGGGGCUUUCCUUUCCUGGUAAGUUCUUCAUAUUUGUGAUGUUUGAUUUAAAAAAAAAAAAAAGUUUUAAAAAAUAAUAAGAAAAUAAAUCUGGCUCUAAACUAGGUAUUAAGAACAAGAGGAAUGUGAUGCAUAAGAGCAAAAUGUAAAUACAGAGCAAUCCUUACAAGAGGAGGAAUAAAAGAAGAAGAAAAGAAAGAGAACAUAAAAAGCCACGCAUAUCUAUCGCCAAAUGUGUCUCUUCUAAAGUAUAUGGAAAGAAGCGUCAUGAAGAGCACUGCACAGCAGGCUAGGUGUCAAGUGGACAUGUAAACCUUUCUACAAAACACUGAAGAGUGCAAUGCUUGAGCCUAUUACCUAAUAGAGACGCAAGAAAAUGGCCCAUCUGUUUGCAGUGAGCAAAUGUGAUUGUCCUCUAUUAUGUUCCCAGCAAUCUGGUGGCCAUCAACACCUUGCUGAUAAACUGGAAAUCCUCACCUUCUUCCAUCUUCACCUCCGAAACGACCCAUGAAAGAGCCGGGGAGAUCAAAGAAAUCCUCUUCCAUCCUUAUCCUUCUGACAGAGGGACUGGUGCGAUUUAGCACCCAUGUGGGAAUUUUUAGGCUUCAUCUAGAAUUCGCAUUCAUAAACGCAGCAACCUGGGGGCUUUUCACAGCACCUUAG